rnacentral:rRNA from 1 species
UGGAUUAGGCAUGCAAGUCGAACGAGAAGCUCUAGCUUGCUAGAGUAGAAAGUGGCGAAAGGGUGAGUAACACGUGAGUAAUCUGCCUCUAACUCGGGGAUAGCCUCUGGAAACGGAGAUUAAUACCGGAUGUGAUGAUUGAAUCGCAUGAUUCUUUCAUUAAAAUUUUUUGGUUGGAGAUGGGCUCGCGUCCCAUUAGCUAGUUGGUAAGGUAACGGCUUACCAAGGCAACGACGGGUAGGUGGUCUGAGAGAAUGGUCACCCACACUGGAACUGAGACACUGUCCAGACUCCUACGGGAGGCUGCAGUCGAGAAUCUUCCGCAAUGGGCGAAAGCCUGACGGAGCAAUGCCGCGUGAAUGAUGAAGGCCUUCNGGUUGUAAAAUUCUGUCACCUGGGACGAAAUUUGACGGUACCAGGAGAGGAAGU